AACGUGCCCAGUCGUGGGGGAUAACGCAGCGAAAGCUGUGCUAAUACCGCAUACGAUCUACGGAUGAAAGCGGGGGAUCGCAAGACCUCGCGCGAUUGGAGCGGCCGAUAUCAGAUUAGCUAGUUGGUGGGGUAAAAGCCCACCAAGGCGACGAUCUGUAGCUGGUCUGAGAGGACGACCAGCCACACUGGAACUGAGACACGGUCCAGACUCCUACGGGAGGCAGCAGUGGGGAAUUUUGGACAAUGGGCGCAAGCCUGAUCCAGCAAUGCCGCGUGCAG
rnacentral:rRNA from 1 species